UUUGCUUUAAUAUUUCACUUCUCUAAUCACCUCUUGUGUGUGUCCACUUUGGUUGAGAGGGUUGUCUCAAUAGUACCAAAGUGUGAGAGAAGGUUUUCGAGCUCAACUAUAAAGCUCUAGUUUGGUUUUAUAGAGUUUCCGGAAAAACUCUUAGGUCGAAUCUACCUUGAAAGAUUUCUAGGUUUUUAAGAGUUCCUUGAUACUCUAAGGUACUAACUUACCCGUAAAAGUUAGAGGUUCUUAAGAGUGCUCUUGAUACUCUAAGGUGUGAGUCUACCCGUAAAAGACUGGUUCCUAAGCGAAGUAGCUUUAAAGCUUAGAGAGGUUUUUAAGAGUUCCUUGAUACUCUAAGGUACUAACUUACCCGCAAAAGUUAGAGGUUCUUAAGAGUGCCCUUGAUACUCUAAGGUGUGAGUCUACCCGUAAAAGACGAUUCCUAAGCGAAGUAGCCUUAAAGCUUAGAGAGGUUCUUAAGAGUUUCCUUGAUACUCUAAGGUUUUGCCAUUACCUUUAGGCGAGUGAAUUCCGGCAGUUGGUCGGGACUGGACUAGCCCUUGUUUGGGUGAACCAGUAUAAAUCUCUUGUGUUGUUCUCUGUUAAUUAUAGUUUAUCUUUUAUCUAAAAACAACACUUAAUUAAAAAGAUCCCUCUUUCAGUUAUCUGGUCAAAUACAGAGGUUGACUACUUUACGCAGAUCCCUCAUCCAGUUAUCUGGUCAACCAUCUGAGGUUAUAUUCAUUGCUUUAAAUCCUUAUAUUUGUUCAAGUAUUACUUAUCAUAUAUAUCCAGUUAUCUGGUCACUUACUUGCUUAUCAAUAUAUCCAGUUAUCUUGUCAUUUACUUGCUUAUCAAUAUAUCCAGUUAUCUGAUCAUUUACUCUACCAUACAAUUUGUGUUUACAAUAUAACUUAGUAUUCAUAUACUAUAGUUGUUUAUAAAACACUAUCAAGCAAGUUGACUCAGUAUUCAUAUACUGUAGUAAGUUUCGAAGAGUAAUAAUUACAUUAUUAUAUCAAUC
rnacentral:lncRNA from 1 species